rnacentral:rRNA from 1 species
UAGGGAAUCUUCGGCAAUGGGGGGAACCCUGACCGAGCAACGCCGCGUGAGUGAAGAAGGUUUUCGGAUCGUAAAGCUCUGUUGUUAAGGAAGAACGAGUGUGAGAAUGGAAAGUUCAUACUGUGACGGUACUUAACCAGAAAGGGACGGCUAACUACGUGCCAGCAGCCGCGGUAAUACGUAGGUCCCGAGCGUUGUCCGGAUUUAUUGGGCGUAAAGCGAGCGCAGGCGGUUAGAUAAGUCUGAAGUUAAAGGCAGUGGCUCAACCAUUGUAGGCUUUGGAAACUGUUUAACUUGAGUGAAGAAGGGGAGAGUGGAAUUCCAUGUGUAGCGGUGAAAUGCGUAGAUAUAUGGAGGAACACCGGUGGCGAAAGCGGCUCUCUGGUCUGUAACUGACGCUGAGGCUCGAAAGCGUGGGGAGCGAACAGG